ensembl:misc_RNA Metazoa_SRP Metazoan signal recognition particle RNA
GCCGGGCAUGGUGGCUCAUGCCUGUAAUCUCAGCACUUUAGGAGGCUGAGGCAGGUGGAUCACUUGAGGUCAGGAGUUCGAGACCAGCCUGACCAACAUAGUGAAACCCCGUCUCUA